rnacentral:rRNA from 1 species
UAACUGCUCGAAAGAGUAGCUAAUACCCAUAGUAUCCGGUUAUCCGGAUUAAAGAUUUAUCGCUUCGGGAGGGGCCUGCGUCUGAUUAGCUAGUUGGCGAGGUAAAAGCUCACCAAGGCGACGAUCAGUAGCUGGUUCGAGAGGAUGACCAGCCACACUGGGACUGAGAUACGGCCCAGACUCCUACGGGAGGCAGCAGUGAGGAAUCUUCCACAAUGGGCGCAAGCCUGAUGGAGCAAUACCGCGUGCAGGAAGACGCUUUUCGGAGUGUAAACUGCUUUUGUCGUCGAAGAUUAUGACUGUAGACGAAGAAUAAGGACCGGCUAACUACGUG